AACGAACGCUGGCGGCAGGCUUAACACAUGCAAGUCGAACGCACCUUUCGGGGUGAGUGGCAGACGGGUGAGUAACGCGUGGGAAUCUACCCUUCUCUACGGGAUAGCUCCGGGAAACUGGAAUUAAUACCGUAUACGUCCUGAGGGAGAAAGAUUUAUCGGGGAAGGAUGAGCCCGCGUUGGAUUAGCUAGUUGGUGGGGUAAAGGCCUACCAAGGCGACGAUCCAUAGCUGGUCUAAGAGGAUGAUCAGCCACAUUGGGACUGAGACACGGCCCAAACUCCUACGGGAGGCAGCAGUGGGGAAUAUUGGACAAUGGGCGCAAGCCUGAUCCAGCCAUGCCGCGUGAGUGAUGAAGGCCCUAGGGUUGUAAAGCUCUUUCAGUGGGGACGAUAAUGACGGUACCCACAGAAGAAGCCCCGGCCAACUUCGUG
rnacentral:rRNA from 1 species